rnacentral:rRNA from 1 species
CCUACGGGUGGCAGCAGUGAGGAAUAUUGGUCAAUGGACGCAAGCCUGAACCAGCCAAGUAGCGUGAAGGAUGACGGCCCUCCGGGUUGUAAACUUCUUUUAUAAGGGAAUAAAGUGCGGCACGUGUGCCUUUUUGUGUAUACUUUAUGAGUAAGGAUCGGCUAACUCCGUGCCAUCAGCCGCGGUGAGACAGGGGAGCCAAGGGUUAUCCGGAUUUAUUUGGGUUAAAGGGAGCGUAGAGGGGUUGUUCAGUCAGGUGUGAAAGUUUUCGGCUCAACCGUAAAAGUGCAAUUGAUACUGGCAGUCUUGAGUACAGGUGAGGUAGGCGGAAUGCGUGGUGUAGCGGUGAAAUGCCUAGAUAUCACGAAGAACUCCGAUUGCGAAGGCAGCAUACCAAACGGCAACUGACACUGAUGCUCGAAAGCGUGGGUAUCAAACAGGAUUAGAUACCCCAGUAGUC